rnacentral:tRNA from 1 species
GCUCCGAUAGUCUAAUGGUUAUGACGUGGGAUUCUGAAGUAGGAAUAUUUCAUUCCCGAAGUCCCGGUUCGAUUCCGGGUUGGAGCU